GAAGGUCAAAUUGUUGUUUAAGCCGUUGGUUCUGGCAAAAGCUGGAAACACAUGUCAGGUAUAGAAAUUAACAAGUGUGUUAGCAGGUGUGCAAAACGAGUGUUGCUAGCAGUCUUCACGUUGCAAUAUGGAUUUUUAACUUGCUUAGAAAACCCAAAAUAGAUUUGUUAUGGAUAAAAAUAGUACAAAAUUACAAAGAAAGGCGUUAAUGAUAAAUUUCAGAAAAGUUGGGGGGUUUAUUAGAUACAAUUAUUGCAAAAGUAGAAGGGUCUAAAUAAAAUUUGCAGAAAUUUUACCAGCUGCGAUGAUGAUGCCUGCAGCCAUGCGGAAGCGGGGCCAUAAUCUUCUUUGACAGCACUCUCUCAUAUCUUGUUUGACUGAUGAUGAUGGGAGUGCUGUCGACAAGAUCUAGAAGGUACUGUCGAAUAAGAUACAGAUACGGAGGAAGGAUCAACUUUACCUACUCUCAUCACAAUCUUCUUCAUAUUCUCUUCAAUUUUUAUUUUUUUAUUGUUCGUAUUUUUUUUCCCAGAUUAGAUUUCCCUGUUAAUCACCAUGGUAUUAACAAAGAUACUAACUUGUUGGUUUUGUUUAUUUAAUUGUGUGGUCGAUUCACAGGAAGUUUCAUCAUAUAUAUAUAUAUAUAUUUUUUUUUUAUUUGUUUGUUUAUUGUCUUUAGAGUGUUCCGUUUUGAUCUGCCUCAAAUAUAUUCGAGGAGGAUUCAGUCUAUUUAUAGUCUUCGGUUUCUUAAAGUUGACUAUACCCCCCAUUGUUGAUCACCUUUGCAAAGAUUUAUUAUAUCUAUUAUUGGUUUGGAUUUUUUUUUUUCCCUCCACUCCUAUUAGUCUAGUGCUAUUAACUCUUGUUUAUGCACGCUUGUAUGAUUUCUUUAAAAAGUAAAACCAACUAUGUCAGCUGUAAGUGUAAGCAUUAUUUUAUUCUGAAGAUGCUUAAACCUCCUUUUGUUGUAUUUGGUCAAUUCUUUGCAACUUGUGUAUAUAAAGAUUAUAUAUACAUAUAUAUAUAUAUAUAUAUAUUUUGUCUCUUCGGGGUGAGAUGUCAAAGACUCUUUUUAUAUUGAGGUGCCGCGAAGUACAUGUACAUAACAUAGUCAUGUGUUAUGGAUGGUUCCUCAUAACAUAUUUUUAAUAGUGGGAAUAAAAUUUUAGGUUUUCACCAAAAGAUUAUUUUAAAUGCAAUUGGAAUCUCAUAUAUGGCGAGCCUUAAAGACAAAGGAAGUGAUUCAACCUCUGGAUCUUGUUAAAUAGCACUCUUUCAUCUUUUUUCAAGACAUGGCAUGAAAGAGUUGUCGAUUGAGCAAGAUCUAUAUUACAUCGGAAAACCAAUACUAUUUUCCAUUCUGCAACACUAGAGGAUUCAGUUUAGUAGCGUAGACAACAAGUUUUGGCUUCGUUAGUUUUACCAUCCAAACAAUUUAUGGGUAAUGUUUAUUUAAUUUUUCGCUUACUUUUACAAAGUUUCCUCCUUUCCUUUUAUUUUACAAUGAGUUUCACUUUGUUCAAUCUGAACGCUUGAAAAUUUAUUUCAUUUCUGCUAUCCUGAAUUGGCUUUGUAAGGUUGGCUAUCCUAAAUUUUUUAUCUAAUUAAAUUUAGGGACAAAAUAGGACUAUGUUCUUUGGCAAAUAUUUUAUAUUAUUUGUUUAUUUUUUGGUCUGUUUUUUUUUCCUUGAUUGUUCAUGUUUAUGCAGGGUUGGUUGUUGUGAUCUAUAUAACAAUUAAUAGAAUAAAUGUUAAUGGCAGUGGUACGUUAAAAGCCCACAUUCUGGAGUAACAUGUCUAUCUAUUUAUUUGAAUAUUGUUUAUGGAUAUUUAAAAUUCAAUUGGUAAGAUGAUGUUAAGAACAUGUAUAACUACUUCCUUCCAUUUUCAUUUGUGUUUAGAUAAUCGAUGAGAAAAUGUGGUUUGAUAGAAAACUGCCUAUUGUUCGAAGUGGAGUUGGAGCAUAACAUAACAUGCUUUUAAAGAAUUAUUAUUGGGAAAUUUACAGAUAAGAUAAUGAUGCAUUUUUUUCUCCCCUCCCUCUCCCUCAUAAGUUUAGUACAUAGAGACAUUUUUGUUAUAACUUAAUUCUUCCCUUUGAACUUAACCUAGUAAAACUCUAAUUUCUUUAUUAGAUUUAAGCUGAUAGUUGAUUGAUUGUGUUUAAUAUUUUUCUUUAAACACAAAGGAAAAGACAAAUGUAUUUUGCAUGACAGGCUCUUGCUAGUUUUAGAUAGCAUUAAUUUCUGCAGAAGUGGACAGGCAGCAUCCCUUUUGGCUGCUUUUGGUGCUGUCAUUUGUUCUCCACUUCGAUUAUCGAUUGCCAGUGUUUUGGUCUGCAGCUGGGGCUUAUGGCAUGUACUGUUUCAGUAGAACAGUUUCUGACAUCAGAUUUGUACUAAUGGUUUGAUUCCCGAAUGGAACUGGAUUUUUGUGAUGUAUUUGCCCAAGUUUGGAGAUAUCUGGUUUCAAUGAAGGGGAGGUUGGAUGGAAAAGUUGAUCCUUGUAUUGAAGUUACUUCUACAUCAUUAUAAAAGUUGAACAUGUGGUAGGAGGAGCAACCUCCUGAUGUGGGAAGGUAAUAUUGGGAAAGAAAGAAACAGAAAUGCACGUUUAAUCUAGAUUAUUAGAAGCAAAAGAAGAGGAAGACAACAGAGGCCAGCCUUAAAGACCAAGGAAGUUGUUUGCCCCCCUCUGCUCACAUCUCUUGGGGUUGAAUUCAAUCUCCAUAAUGUGUGAUAUCGUUUUGAGAGAUUGAAGAUAGGGGUGGGCACGGUUCGCCUUGGAUCGGUUCCACCCGAGAGUUCCAACCGAACUGAUCAUUCGGUUAUCCAUAAAUACUAACCCGAACCGACCCAUGGACAAUUGAAAACCAAGCAUUUAACCGAAUAAACGGGUCGGUUUGGUUCGGGUUCCGAUUGGUCGGUUUGGACUUAUAUUUAGGCCUCUGAUUUUGGGCUUGUUUUCGAAUUAGUGGAUCAGAAAUUAUCUUUGAGCUAACAAUUUUGGGCAUACUUUCAGCUAAUUGAGCUGGGUUUAUUUUUGGACCUAUAGUUUUUGGCCUGUCCAAUAUACAAUUAGAAAUUACCUUCA